AGGGGACGUAACAGGGAUUAAACUGAUAAGAAUAGUACUACUUAACACACCACUCCUAUCUGGUGGCACAUUAGAUUGCACGCGUAGUGCCCCAAAUUUGAAGUAGGAGGACAGACCAAGCAUCUUUUUCCAUCUCCCGGUUCCUAAAAUUGAUGCCAUAUACACGUCCCCUGAUAGGGGACGUAACAGGGAUUAAACUGAUAGGAAUAGUACUACU